CUGGAAGAGUACCCAGUAUUGGUUCAGACAAGUUUCACUGUGUUUUCUGCGACUGAAGGACUGAUUUUUGGAAGUGGAACAUGGCUUUCUGUCCUACCAAAUGAGAAGAGUGUCAUACCUCCAUCCGUGUUUGUGUUGACACCUAAAGAGAGAGCCUACUCCACUGCCUGCCUGGCAAAAGAUUUCUACCCCAAAGAUUUUGAAAUCUUUAUUAAUAACAUCAAACAAGAAAGGGUACCACCGGUCCUGUCUAAGGAGGGAUUGUACUCUUCAGCCCUUGUUACGGAUGCUCAGUCAGAUAAUUUUAAAUGCCAGGCCAAGCACCUUGGAACCCUGGUGACAAAUCUGGACAGAACUUCAAAGUCGAAAGGUGAUCAUAAUCAGUGUGGAGGAAGACGAGUUCACACAAGUCCAAGAGUUAAUAUGCGCUCCUUAACUGUACUUGGGAUGAGGUUCCUGUUUGCUAAAUCUCUGGGCUUCAACAUGCUGCUGACUGUGAAAGUCUUCCUCACAUAAGAUUUUGGUGUGCGGCCACGUGGAGGUUUCAUGUACCUGAGCUUUAUCAUCUCCUACUACAACGUCUUCUGCUACGUGACACUGUACACCAUGUGUUUGCUGCACUUAUGCCCUAUUAUAACUUAAAAUGGCUUAAUUUCCCUUUGUUCCUAUCUAGCAGUAUGUAUCUGUAACAUUAAUUUCCUGUUUCCUAGUAUAAGGCAAAUAUUUAAUUUUUUUCCCCUAUGAUUUGUUUCUAUUAGUUAAAUGCAUAUGUUGUUUUAUUAUACAAUGUUGUUUGAUCCUAAAAUUACAUAAACUUCUUAUAUCCUAAGUCUACUGUAACUUCGGCAAUGAUGUAUGAACUCAAUCUAUAAAAUGCCUGUAAUGUGAUUUGUGGUUUCUAAGUCAUCUUCUUGCCAAAUUUAAAAGAGAAUAAAAAUAA